rnacentral:lncRNA from 1 species
GUUAAAGGGAAUGGGUCUCGGAAGCCGAGGGUCUGAAGUUCAAGACUCCUAGAAGGGGAGGGGAAUGAAAGCCACUCAGUGAAGAAGGUAAAACAAAUACAGUCUAUCUCUGACUUACAAUGGUUCGCCCUAAGAUUUUUGGACUUCAUGAUGGUGUGAAAGCAAUAUGAAUUCAGUAGAAACCGAACUUCAAAUUUUUGAAUUUUCCUCUGUUCCCAAGCUAGGGAUGUACUAUUGGAUACGCUCGGAUACCCUCUUGUAUGCUGGACAGUGGCAGCAAGCAGCUCCCAGUCGGCCAUGCAAUCAGGAGGGUAAACAAUGGACACACUUCCAAUUAUUCCGGACCCAGACGACCAUUCCUCUUUCACCUUCAGUACAGUAUUUGAUGAAUUGCAUGAGAUAUCGAACACUUCAUUAUAAAAUAGGCUUUGUGGGAGUUCCCGUCAUGGCGCAGUGGUUAAUGAAUCCGACUAGGAACCAUGAGGUUGCGGGUUUGGUCCCUGUCCUUGCUCAGUGGGUUGAGGAUCCGGCGUUGUCGUGAGCUGUGGUGUAGGUUGCAGAUGCAGCUCGGAUCCUGCAUUGCUGUGGCUGUGGCAUAGGCCGGUGGCUGCAGCUCUGAUUCGACCCCUGGCCUGGGAACCUCCAUAUGCCGCUGGAUUGGCUC